ACAACGGCGCACUUUUGUCCCCGCGCGGGCCCGCCCAGCAGAAGGGACCGGAGAGCCUUGGCUCUCCGCCAGGGAGGUCGGGCUCCCCGCAGGCACCGCAGGCAUCCUUUUUCUUGCCCUUCGCAGGAGGAGUCCUGAGGCUGGGCAGUCGGGAAGUUUCCGUGGCAGCAGCAGCAGCAGCAGCAGCAGCAGCAGCAGUCUUGCAGGGGACCAGCAAGGACGCUGGAGUGAGAUUAGAAAAGCACUUGGGAGGCACAUUCAUCUUGCCGGCGUUGUCAGGAGUGAUCAGCGAGUUUUAUUAAAAGCCCUGGAACUGCCUGAAAAGCCUCCUUGUCUGAGUUUGAAAUGAAAGGGGCAUGUUAAGAUCUUGGGGCACAUUGUGGGGACCCCUUGCCCUGCCCCUUGGACUAUGAGCUAACAUCCCCGGAGGAAGCACAGAAGCCCUCCUUUGUUGAAGGGAUUUCGCCGGUGGACAAAUCGAGCUGGCCCCUGACGGCAUGAGCUCUCCGAGUUGGGGAGGGCCCCGUGCCCUGCUGCUGCCGCCACCGCCGCUGCUGUUGCUGUUGCUGUUGCCAGGCUGGGUCGCCCCCACCUUCAUCAGUGUCAACCGCGGAGUCAGGGUGAUGAAGGGCCGCUCUGCCUUCCUGCUGGGGGAUGACCUGAAGUUUGCCAUCCCCAAAGAGAAAGACGCUUGCAAAGUAGAAGUUGUGAUGAACGAGCCAAUGACCCAGAGGGUUGGGAAACUCACUCCACAGGUCUUUGACUGCCAUUUCCUUCCUAACGAAGUAAAGUAUAUUCACAAUGGUUGCCCGAUUCUUGAUGAAGACUCAGUGAAGCUUAGACUUUACAGAUUUACUGAGACGGAUACCUUCACAGAAACCUUUAUCCUGCGGGUCUAUCUCCUGGAACCAGACUGUAACAUCAUCCGUAUGAGUAACAAUGUACUGGAGGUGUCCGAAUUCUAUGGCCUGUCCCGAGCCAUUGAUAAGAACGUGCUCAGAUUUGAUUACGAGGGGGCGGCCGGCCUGGAGUGCACAGUCAGGCUGGAUUCUGUGGGAAGCCGGCUGCCAGGCCAUGGUCAGGUGGUCCUGCUGGAGCCUCGGUCAGAAAAACCUCGUGGAGAUCAGCCACACAGUUUCUUCCCUGAAUCUCAACUGGGAGCAGAGCUGAAGUGUCCAGGUGGAAGCUGCAGCCUAGGCCUGAAGAAAAUAGAACAUGUCAACGUGAGCUGUGAGGAGUUCCUGCUGAUGGGGCUUCGAUAUCAACACACGGAUCCCCCUUCUCCCAACAUUGAUUACAUCUCCAUCCAACUGGACCUCACGGAUGGCAGGAGUAAAAUCGUGUACAAGUCAGAGGGUGCGUGGUUGCCCGUCUAUAUCAGAGCUGGCAUUCCUAAUCAGAUUCCAAGGGCUGCAUUCAUGGCCAUGUUUAUUCUGGAAGUGGAUCAGUUCAUCCUGACCUCAUUGACCACAUCCGUUCUGGACUGUGAAGAGGAUGAGACGCCAAAGCCCUUGCUGGUGUUCAACAUUACGAAGGCCCCGCCCCAGGGCUACAUGACUCACCUGUGGGAUCACACCAGACCGGUCUCCUCAUUCACCUGGAAAGAUCUAAGUGACAUGCAGAUAGCCUAUCAGCCACCAAACAGCAGCCAUUCUGUGAGGAGACAUUAUGAGGUGGAGGUGGAGGCUUAUGACUUCUUCUUUGGAAGGAGUGCACCUAUUACAGUCCACAUCUCCAUCAGAACGGCAGAUACGAAUGCCCCGCGAGUGUCCUGGAACACAGGUCUGAGUCUUCUGGAGGGGCAGUCUCGGGCCAUCACUUGGGAACAGUUUCAGAUUGUCGACAAUGAUGACCUCCAUGCUGUCCAGCUGGUCACCGUGAGCGGCCUGCAGCAUGGACGCCUUACAGUAAGAGGGGGGAAAGGAUUUCUCUUCACUGUGGCUGACCUUCAGACUGGAGUUGUUCGCUAUCAUCAUGAUGACAGUGAUUCCACCAAAGACUUUGUGGUCUUCAGGAUAUUCGAUGGCCGUCACAGCAUCCGCCAUAAGUUUCCCAUCAACAUUUUGCCCAAAGACGACAGUCCCCCAUUCCUCAUAAACAAUGUAGUAAUUGAACUGGAAGAGGGACAGACCAUACUGAUCCAGGGCUCCAUGCUGAGAGCAUCAGAUAUAGACUCCAGUGAUGACUACAUCUUCUUUAAUAUCACAAAACCCCCUCAGGCUGGAGAGAUCAUGAAGAAGCCAGGGCCAGGGCUGAUAGGCUAUCCUGUCCCUGGCUUCCUUCAGAGGGAUCUAUUUAAUGGCAUCAUUUACUAUCGUCACUUCGGUGGAGAGAUCUUUGAAGACUCUUUUGAAUUUGUCCUGUGGGAUAGCCAUGAACCUCCAAAUCUCUCAGUGCCACAGGUGGUGACCAUCCAUAUUACUCCCGUGGACGACCAGCUUCCAAAGGAGGCUCCUGGAGUGUCUCGGCAUUUGGUUGUCAAGGAAACUGAGGUGGCCUACAUAACUAAGAAACAUCUCCAUUUUAUAGAUACAGAAUAUGACCGAGAGCUUCUCUACACAAUAACGACGCCCCCAUUUUUCUCUUUCAGCCACAGUAGGCAUCUGGAUGCUGGGAAAUUAUUUAUGGUGGAUGGUAUUCCAAAGCUAACCAAAAACCCUGCCAUCCCAGGGCUGAGAUCAUUCACUCAGCAUGCUGUGAACUACAGGAAAGUGGCCUACAUGCCACCCAUGCAAGAUAUAGGACUCUAUCCGGGACAUGUCCAGUUUGCAUUUUCUAUCAGUAACCAGCAUGGGGCCACUUUGCAUGGGCUUUGCUUUAACAUCACGAUUCUUCCAGUGGAUAAUCAAGUUCCCAAGGUAUUUACCAACCCCCUGAGAGUGGCUGAGGGAGAUCAAUGUGUCAUCAGCACAGAGAACAUUCUGGUUUCUGAUGUGGAUACCAAACUGGACAACAUCAACUUCUCCCUACAGAGACUGCCUCAGUGUGGAAUGGUGGAGUUGGAUGGAUUUCCUCUAAACCCAGGGGGCACAUUUUCUUGGGGAGAACUCCAUGCCUUAAAAGUUAGGUAUCGACAUGAUGGAUCUGAGAUACUUCAGGAUGAUAUAUUCUUGGAGGUCACAGAUGGCACCAAUUCAGCAGACUUCAUUCUACAUGUUGAGGUAUUCCCCGUCAAUGAUGAGCCACCAAUCCUCAAGGCUGACCUCAUUCCCAUGAUGCAUUGCUCAGAGGGCGACGAGGUGGUCAUUACAUCUGAAUACAUUUCUGCUACUGAUGCGGACAGUGACGACUUGAGACUGAUGUUUGUGAUUGCCCGAGCACCCCAGCACGGGCUGGUGAGGAAAGGCGGAGUCACAGUGGAUCGGUUCUCUCAGGGAGAUGUCAUCUUGGGGGCUGUGACAUACAAGCACACGGGUGGUGAGAUUGGCUUGGUGCCUUGUUUCGAUACCAUUACAUUGGUGGUUUCGGAUGGAGAAGCUGGUCCUUAUGUGAAUGGCUGUUGCUACAGUGGGCCCCGUCCAUCUGUUCCUCUUCAUGAGUCCUUUCCAGUAUAUGACCUCAACGUCACAGUACAGCCAGUGGACAACCAGUCACCUUCGAUUGCAAUAGGUACCAUGUUCGUUGUAGAUGAGGGUUUCUCAGCAGCCAUUACCAUUAACCAUUUGUCUGCCACUGACCCUGACACUGCAGCAGAUGACUUGGAAUUUGUUUUGGUUUCUCCUCCCCAGUUUGGCUACCUUGAAAACACCCUUCCUUCUGCAGGUUUUGAAAAAAGCAAUAUGGGCAUAAGCAUAGCUUCGUUCCAGUGGAAAGACAUGAAGGCUUCGCACAUUAACUAUGUGCAAUCCAGGCACCUGAGGAUGGAACCGACAGCUGACCAGUUCAUGGUGUACGUCACCGAUGGGAAGCACCGCUCCUUGGAGAUACCAUUUUACAUUACAAUCAACCCCACAAAUGACGAAGCUCCUGACUUUGUAGUGCAGAAUAUUACUGUGUGUGAGGGUCAGAGGAAAGAGCUGGAUACCUCUGUCAUCAAUGCUGCCGAUCUAGACGUUCCCAAGGACCCCUUGCUGCUCAGUGUCACCCAUAAACCACGCCAUGGCCUCCUCAUCAACGGGGUGCUUAGCAAAGACUUUCCUCAAAAUAAGCAGCCUGUCAACCCCAGCCAGAGGCAUGAACUUAUUCACAGCUUUUCCUUGGAACUUCUCGAGAACGGAAUGAAAUUGAUGUAUGUGCAUGAUGACUCAGAGAGCCUUGCUGAUGACUUCACAAUCCAGUUGUCAGAUGGGAAACAUAAGAUAUUAAAAACGAUUUCAGUAGAAAUCACCCCAGUUAAUGAUGAGAAACCAAUGCUGAGAAAGAAGGCUGAAAUUACAGUGAAAAUGGGUGAAGCUCGAGUUAUUUCUAGUGCCAUUCUCUCAGCCAUAGAUGGAGAUUCGCCCAGGGAGAAGAUUUACUAUUUAUUUGAAAGGCUUCCCCAAAAUGGGCAACUUCAACUUAAGAUAGGGAGUGACUGGGUCCCUCUCUACCCUGGUAUGAAGUGCACCCAGGAGGACGUGGAUCUGAACUUGCUGAGAUACACACACACCCGGGCAAUGGAUUCCCAGAACAAAGACAGCUUUACCUUCUACCUCUGGGAUGGUGACAACAGGUCACCGGCAUUUGACUGUCACAUCACCAUCAAGGAUAUGGGAAAAGGCGAUAUUGUCAUCCUCGCAAAACCGCUUGUGGUGUCUAAAGGUGACCGAGGUUUCUUGACAACCGCUGCUCUCUUUGCUGUGGAUGGAACAGACAAACCCGAGGAACUGCUCUAUGUCAUCACUUCCGCUCCGCGGUACGGCCAGGUCGAAUAUGUCCGCUAUCCUGGACUCCCCAUUACAAGCUUCAGCCAGAUGGACAUAGCAGGACAGACCGUCUGUUAUGUACAUAAGAGCAAGGCAGCUGCCUCCCAUGACACCUUCAGAUUCAUCGUCAGCAAUGGGCUGCAGACCAAACAUGGGGUGUUUAAGAUCACACUGGAGACCGUGGACAGAGCCUUACCCGUGGUGACCAGGAACAGGGGGCUGAGACUGGACGAGGGGGGCAUGGGCCUGCUUUCCCCUGACCUCCUCCAGCUGACUGACCCCGACACCCCAGUGGAGAACCUCACCUUUGUGUUGGCCCAGCUCCCACGACACGGCCAGCUUUACCUGCGGGGGACAGUGUUGCUUCAGCACAACUUCACUCAGCAGGAUGUGGACAGCAGGAAUGUGGCCUACAGGCACUUGGGAGGGGACUCCCAGGUUGACUGCUUUACUUUUGUGGCCACAGAUAGGACAAACCAAGGCUUUAUUGUGGACGGGAGAGUGGGACAAGAACCUGUUACAUUCACCAUCCAGGUUGACCAGUUGGACAAAACAGCCCCCCAUAUCACACUCCUGCAUUCCCCUUCUCAAGUGGGGCUCCUGACAAAUGGAUGUUACGGGAUUUACCUCACUUCCCAUGUGUUGAAGGCAUCAGACCCUGACACUGAUGACGACCUGAUCAUCUUUAAAAUUUUACGAGGCCCCCGACAUGGACGUCUGGAGAACACAACAACAGGUGAACUUAUCCGUGAGAAAUUUAUCCAAAAGGACUUAAACAGCAAGACCAUUCUUUACAUCAUAAACGCAUCUUUGGAAGUUAAUUCAGAUAUCCUGGAAUUUCAAAUCAUGGACCCGACAGGGAACUCGGCUGCUGCUCAAACUUUGGAACUGAAGUGGUCUCACAUUGAAUGGUCGCAGGCUGAAUAUGAGGUCUGUGAGAAUGUGGGCAUAUUACCCUUAGAAAUUACCAGAAGGGGAUAUUCCAUGGACUCCGCCUUCGUGAGUGUAAAGGUCAAGCAAGUGUCAGCUACACUUGGAAAAGACUUCACUCUGAGUCCAUCUAAACUGAUUCAGUUUGACCCAGGAAUGUCAACUAAGAUGUGGAAUAUAGCAAUUACCUAUGACGGAUUAGAGGAAGAUGAUGAGGUCUUUGAAGUAAUUCUGAACUCCCCUGUGAAUGCAGUUCUUGGCAUAAAGACAAAAGCGGCAGUGAAAAUUUUGGACUCAAAAGGAGGACAGUGCCGUCCUUCACGUUCCUUCACCCCCAACAAGCACGAUGCGUGGGAGAAGGGCGCUUGGCACCCGCUUUCCCCAGGGUCUUCCUCACCCACCACUUCCGGUUCCUUUCAUCUGGAAAGAAGACCUCUUCCAUCUUCCAGGCGGCCAGUGGUCACCAGGGGAGACAGCCUCCAGGGCUUUGAUUCCACAGAUCUCUCUCGUAUGAAGCUCAGGACCCGAGGGAAUGGCAAAACAGUUCUUCCAUCCUCUGUUUAUAGAAAUGGAACAGACAUCAUCUAUCAUUAUCAUGGAAUGGUUUCCCUGAAGCUGGAAGAUGACAGUUCCCCAUCUCACAAAAGGAAGGCCAAAGUCUCCAAUAUUAGUCAGCCACAGAAGACAAGCCAAGGGGCAGAAUUGCCCCAGGCAGAUAAGAUGGAAUCCACAACUGGCUCACACUUACCCAGACAGGCCCACCUGCCUUCAUUUCCAAAGAACUGCACACUGCAAUUAAAGGGACUCUUCCACUUCCAAGAAAGCCUCCGCCAGCUGUACAAGUGUGAUGGGAUUACCUGGAGAGCCUGGAGCCCCCAAAGUGAGGAGGUGGAAGGUAAAUCCUGCCCAGCUGGGUGGCACCGUCACUCAGACUACUGCCACUCCGUGAUCACAGAGCAGAGAGGCACCUGGGACAUGGCGGCCCGAGCUUGCAAAGAACAUCACCUGGGCAGCCUUGUAACUGUACUUUCCAAGAAGCAUAUGCAGUGGUUGUGGGACCUCAGUGGAAGAAAGCCCUUUUGGAUAGGCAAGUGUCUGCUCUGCACUGAAGGAGGCCAGAACACCAACAAGGCGCCUCCCUCCCAUGGCCCAAAUAAUCGUGGUUUACAGUAACAGGCAACAGUUAGAUGGUUGGGUAGCUUAUUUUCUCUUUUUUGGAGGGGGCACCCAGUGGAUGGUCUGUCUUUUAAAACCCAUCUUAAUUACAUAAUACUUUCAUUUUUUGACAUCUAUCUCAGAGAAAUAAUAAGGGAUGUGGCUUGGAUUAUAGCCAACCUUUAGUUACAUGGCUUUCAUCCAUCUACUUAGCCACCCAUCCAUCCAUCCAUCUACCGUUUAUUCAACAAAUAUUGAAUAUUGCAUGCUGAUC